AGUGGAAGUUUUCGCGAGUGAGGGGUUCACCGAGCGCUCUUUCUCUCUCCUCUUUCUUCCCCUUCUCCUAGGGCUCCGAAUCGAUCGUCGUCGGAGACUCUCGCCGAUUCCUCGAGCGCUCCCUUCCGAUUUCUAGGAGCCGAUUGGGAUUGUGAGUUCGCGUCCCCGCUUUCAGAUCUGCAGCGAGUAAUUGGCUGGUCGAUUGCCGGCUCACCUGAUAGUCCUAGGUGGGUGGCAUUGGGGCAACUAAAUAAGGGGGUUCUUAGCGUGUUUUCGCCUGAACUUGGUGGUUUAGUAUCAUGAAUAUUGAAUGUGCGUGACAUUGUUGAGUUAGCGGAUGCGCUUUAUUGUAAAUGAUUUUCUUUCGGGGUCUGACACCUUUUUUUUUUUUUUUUUUGCAUUAUCUAUUGAAUUUGACUUCUCACGGGUAACGAAUUAUUCAAGUUGGCAAGAUUUGGAAGAAUUGAUUAAAAAGAUGUGCUUUUGGAACCCUUUUGUGGAAGCUUGGAGUUUAUUUCUGUGGAAGAAUUGAUAAAAAUAUGUCUUUUCAAAGUAUUACUCAAGGAUUACCUCAAAAGAGACUUGCAGAGCUGUUAUACCUCAGCAUACGAGUUGAUUAUGUUGAACAUUUGUUUAUAUUCUUCAUCAAUGUCGAUCUUUAUGAAUGAUUGCCUAGAGCCUUCAUUUAACCCUGAGCAGCCUCUCUGCUUGUGAUCCUUGUGGGGCAUGGUUUCUGGACUUGGAUACAAGUCCAAAAAAAAGUGGAAAAGAAGUUUUGGUGCCUUGAAAGUUAAAGGCUUGUCAUGAGGUUGAGAAUGUUAUCUUCGCGGUUUCAUUUUGUAAACAUUUCUGACCAAUAUAUAUGUGUGGACUUCACUUUGUUAACUUCUGCUCAUGAAAUUUGUAGCUGUAAGUGUCAUUGUCUGGCAUUUCAAACCAUUUCUUGUCCCAUGGAGCCUAAAAUUCCGAUGCCCUUUAGAAGGGCGGGAGGAGUUUUGCUAUCACUCACCAUUUCCUGUGUUACCAAAGUAUAUCUUGCGAUUAGAGCUUUCUUAUCGUGUUCCGAAU
rnacentral:lncRNA from 1 species